UAGAGUUUGAUCCUGGCUCAGGAUGAACGCUGGCGGCGUGCCUAAUACAUGCAAGUCGAACGCACAGCGAAAGGUGCUUGCACCUUUCAAGUGAGUGGCGAACGGGUGAGUAACACGUGGACAACCUGCCUCAAGGCUGGGGAUAACAUUUGGAAACAGAUGCUAAUACCGAAUAAAACUUAGUGUCGCAUGACAAAAAGUUAAAAGGCGCUUCGGCGUCACCUAGAGAUGGAUCCGCGGUGCAUUAGUUAGUUGGUGGGGUAAAGGCCUACCAAGACAAUGAUGCAUAGCCUGUCUCAGUC
rnacentral:rRNA from 1 species